GACGAACGCUGGCGGCGUGCCUAAUACAUGCAAGUAGAACGCACAGUUUAUACCGUAGCUUGCUACACCAUAGACUGUGAGUUGCGAACGGGUGAGUAACGCGUAGGUAACCUGCCUGGUAGCGGGGGAUAACUAGUGGAAACGAUAGCUAAUACCGCAUAAUAUUAAUUAUUGCAUGAUAAUUAAUUGAAAGGUGCAAUUGCACCACUACCAGAUGGACCUGCGUUGGAUUAGCUAGUAGGUGAGGUAACGGCUCCCCUAGGCGACGAUACAUAGCCGACCUGAGAGGGUGGUCGGCCACACUGGGAGUGGGACACGGCCCAGACGCCUACGGGAGGCAGCAGUAGGGAAUCUUGAGCAAGGGACGAAAGUCUGACCGAGCAACGCCGCGUGAGUGAAGAAGGGUUUCGGAUCGUACAGCUCUGUUGUAAGAGAAGAACGGGUGUGAGAGUGGAAAGUUCACACUGUGACGGUAUCUUACCAGAAAGGGACGGCUAACUACGUG
rnacentral:rRNA from 1 species